rnacentral:rRNA from 1 species
AUUGAACGCUGGCGGCAGGCCUAACACAUGCAAGUCGAGCGGAUGAAGGGAGCUUGCUCCUGGAUUCAGCGGCGGACGGGUGAGUAAUGCCUAGGAAUCUGCCUGGUAGUGGGGGAUAACGUCCGGAAACGGGCGCUAAUACCGCAUACGUCCUGAGGGAGAAAGUGGGGGAUCUUCGGACCUCACGCUAUCAGAUGAGCCUAGGUCGGAUUAGCUAGUUGGUGGGGUAAAGGCCUACCAAGGCGACGAUCCGUAACUGGUCUGAGAGGAUGAUCAGUCACACUGGCACUGAGACACGGUCCAGACUCCUACGGGAGGCAGCAGUGGGGAAUAUUGGACAAUGGGCGAAAGCCUGAUCCAGCCAUGCCGCGUGUGUGAAGAAGGUCUUCGGAUUGUAAAGCACUUUAAGUUGGGAGGAAGGGCAGUAAGUUAAUACCUUGCUGUUUUGACGUUACCAACAGAAUAAGCACCGGCUAACUUCGUG